UAUCACACAGGCAUUCGCAUUCGCAUUCGUGCCGCAGUGAACCGCCGACUUAUUAUUCAGCAUUUAUCGAACAGGUUUGUGGUCGUCAUAGAAACGUGACGACGACAACAAUGAAACUUACGGCUCGAGCCUGAAGCAUUUUCGAUUUCGACCGCAAGCAGGGUAUGCCGUCUCAUUUUGGAGGAAAAUUUGAGAGAAGGAACGGUGGGAUUUUGGCAUUGCACAACCGCGAUGCACACCGGCGGCGGAUAUCGAGUGGCAUUCACCGCGUGAUAACGAACACGACAUCAGCGCGCUGUCGCAAUUGAUGAAGGCACCAUUGUUCAUUGCGGCAUUCGGUACUGUAAAAAUUGCUGGAGAAACUCGAUUUCAAAUUACUUAGAAAUGGUCAAAAGAAAUGAUGAUCCUUUUGAAGCACUCUGUAUAUUCGAUGCAAUAUGCGAUACGCAGCGCGUUAUUACGAGGGGAAGCGGCGUUUCAGCCAAGUUCAAUAACGACUGGGUUAUAAUCGAUGCCGAAAUUCAACCGAAGCGAAAGCGAGAACGCCUGCAAUCGCUGAAGUUACAUUAAUUACUAAAGUUUCGAUCAUAAGCUGAUCGUAAAGAACAAUACAUCGUGCAAGGAUAUUCGUUGUUAUCAUCGAAUAGCGACAACUAUAGGUGGAGAUAAUGUCCGUUGAAACGUUAUGACAUCCUAUAUAUUUCGAUACACAUGCCAUAAAAAGAAGAUAUAAAAUUUUAUAUCAGCUAAUUAAAAUUUUAUAUCGAGAAUUAAUACGUUUUAUCGUUACUUAAUUGAUUAAUAAAGUAAUCGCAAUAAAAGCAAUCAUCAAUCGAAUAAUCAACAUUGAAAUUAAUUAUUAAUCGUAAAAAAAACGCAUUCGCGAUCAUUAGUCAAGGAUUAAUUAUAUCAGGAAAAUCGCAUGGUAAAAGAAUUACUGCCCUUCUAUGGAACGAGAGUGUUCCAAUAAUAUCCAAAUUGCAUUUUGAUAUAACUUGCGUAUAACUUUUGGCGGAACACUUGACCUAGAAAAAAGUUAACCCAAGCUGAU